rnacentral:rRNA from 1 species
GAUGAACGCUGGCGGCGUGCCUAACACAUGCAAGUCGAGCGAGAUUUAUGUGAGUGGAGACUUCGGUCAAAGCGAUUAUAAUGAAAGCGGCGGACGGGUGAGUAACGCGUGAGCAAUCUGCCCCAUACAAAGGGAUACCCACUGGAAACGGUGAUUAAUACCUUAUAAGACCACGAAGUCGCAUGGCUACGGGGUCAACGAUUUAUCGGUAUGGGAUGAGCUCGCGUCUGAUUAGCUAGUUGGUGAGGUAAUGGCUCACCAAGGCGACGAUCAGUAGCCGACCUGAGAGGGUGAACGGCCACACUGGAACUGAGACACGGUCCAGACUCCUACGGGAGGCAGCAGUGGGGAAUAUUGCACAAUGGGCGCAAGCCUGAUGCAGCAACGCCGCGUGAAUGAUGAAGGCCUUCGGGUCGUAAAGUUCUGUCCAAAGGGAAGAAUACAGUGACGGUACCUUUGGAGGAAGCCCCGGCUAACUACGUGCCAGCCGCCGCCGUAACAC